rnacentral:lncRNA from 1 species
GCCGGUCCCGUCCCUGCGCUGGCGGCUCGGGGAGGCGCUGCUGGAGGGGAACAGCAGCAAUGCCUCCCUCAUGGUCACCUCCAGCUGGGCCGGGCCCUGGGCCAACAGCUCCCUGAGCUUCCCUGGGGGACUGAGCUCUGGGGAUAGGCUCAGCUGCGAGGCAGGGAAUGUGCACGGGGUCCAGAGGGCCACUGUCCUGCUGCUGCCGGGGAAGCCAGAGAGUUGGGGUGGAUAUGUGCUCGCAGCACUUGGGGGAGCUGCUGCCUCGGCUCUGCUCUCUCUCUGUGCCUGCCUGCUCUUCUCCAGGUGAGUGUGGUCCUGGCCCAGAAGGUAGUAGGGGGGAGUCAGGUUUGUGUUUGGGAGACUAAGAGUUUGGUGAGAGGAUCAGAGCAGAAUUGUGUGCCCAAACCCUCCUCCGGCCACCCUGAGUGGUGCCCAGAUCUCACUGUGGAGGUGAUCUGUACGAUGCGUCCCUCACCUCCCAGCCUCAGGUGGCUAUGUAGCACCUUGGAAGCAGGUGACCAAAGUUCCAUUGAACACUGUGACCCAGGGAAAGAUGCAAGGUCCUGCCUCCUCCCUCAGGAUGAAGACCCCCCAGAAGGAGGCGGUGAGGACAGUGGCCACAGAGAAGGGCGCAUCCUGUGGCCCGACUCCUGUCUGUUGGGUGAGUGAGGAGCCCACAGUGCACCGUGACCCACAUGAGUGACCAAGGCCACAUCCUUUUUGGUGACUCAGAGGUUCCUGAUAUAUAUUUUUUGGAACCGGGGAUCGAACUCGGCAACUUGUGCUGGCAAGGAAGGUGGCGGAACCACUGAGCUAAAUCCCCAGACCUCCUGAUGCCUACAGAAGCAUUCGUUCCUGAGUCCCCAGUGCAGCUCCAGAACCUUCCCCUGUCCAAGCUCACACUCCCUUCCUUCAGGACAUACAAUCCUGGGGGUCUCCAGAACCACCCUCAUUCUGACACCGCCUAAGGAGCCAGCUCCCUGAGAACACUGUCAGGUUUGGUGACACCCUAGAGGACCUCCUGGAGCUCACUGCAGCUGUGCCCUUAUGGUUGCUCAUUGUCACCAUGAGAACAUGCGGCUGAGCAUGAGCCAAAGGAAGAGGCACAUGGGGCAGGUCUGAGGGAGCAGGCGUGAGCUCUGGGUUGUCCUUAUGAGUGACACAAGAGCAGGAUGAUUAGGGGGUACCAUAUCUCUAAGUUCCCAACACAGGAAGUUGGUUUCCUUUGAACCUAGUCGAUAAAGUCAUUUGUUGCUUUAGCUCACUGGUAGGUAACCUGACAGACACCAGGUAAAAGGUAAAUGCCUCAAAAAGUUAACCAGAGCCAAAUGCUCAGCAGUGGCUGGGAUGGGGGUUGGACACAGAGCUCUACUCUGAUCUUCUCCUGGACAGUAAUUAGAUGUGCAGUUCGGGAAUAUUAUAUCUUCAAGACAGACGAAGUAGGCGGCUUAUUUUUAAGUUAUUUAUCUUUUACCUGGUGUCUGUCAGGUUACCCAUCCAUGGGCUAAAGUGAAAACUGAUUUUAUCAACUGGGUUCAAAGGAAACCAAUUGCCUGUUUUUAAAAUUUGGAGAUACAAUACCCACCUAAUCUCUCUGUAUCUUUGAGAGCGCAAGUGUUUGGAAUUUGUGGAUGCAUUGUAUGAGAAGAAAACAGCAGCCCAAUUCAUAGACUUAUAGUACCUUUAAGAUUCUAGGGAAUUGAGGAGUGAGGAGGCUGGAAACAUAACAGGCCUAGGUGUGAGGAGGCUUUGCAAACUCAGGUAACCAUGAUUAAAUCUUGAAACCUCAGUUUUCUACAGCUUCCUCAAAAUUGCAAUUUCCUGGUCUCUCCGCUACCCAUCUUUGCUCCUCCUAUCCUCUCUGAGAGUGAAUAGAUGAAGCGUAAAUGCUCAGUUUCCAGGUUUGGCUGUAGACCUUCCUUGUUCUCUCCCAGUGCCCCUUGUCUCAAUUUGAUCGUUUUUCUUCAUGCACUUUAGGGUCACCUGAAUGCAUCUGGGUCAGACCACCCGUCAUCUGCCAUGGCUACCACAGGGGAGGAGCAGGGGCUCCAUUACGCCUCCCUCAGCUUCCUGGGACUGAAGCCCCGGAAGCCUCAGAACCAGAAGGACUCCAGCACCACUGAGUACGCAGAGAUCAUGAUCCGGAACUGAUGCCCCAGCCCGGAGCUCCCAGGGCUUCUCUGGGGAGGGAGACAUCAGGGAGGAUUGGGAGAGGAGCGUCCCCACCGCCUGACAGCAGAACUGGGUGCAGACGUUGAGCAAGCAACUUUCUACUUUUUCUCCUCUGUCAAAUGGACACGACAGACCUGAGUCACAGGGCUGUCCUGGGCAUGAGGGAAGCAAUCCCAUAAACAUCCAGAGCUGUGUAUGUAUCCAGAGAGAGCCUUACCUGUGGCCUCCUGCCAAGCCCCAAGAGGUGCUGAACCCCCAGGUCUGAUCACCCUGGCCGGAGAGGGCCCCUUCAGGGCUGCUCCUGCUGCCCAGAACUGCAGAUCCAAUUGAGGCUGUCAAUUCUCCUUCUGCCCCGCCUGCCUUCACCCUCUCCCCACUCAGGUGUUCAUCUCUGGAUGCUGCUUUCUCCCUGCUCCAAGCCACAAGGGAGUCUCCAGGCCAGAGCUGCUUCCUGGAUUUGACCUAUGUGUUUCAGUCCUUGUUUGAUUGAAAUAAAUGCUGUGCAAAUUGGAUACAUCUUUCUUGAAUUCUAUUUCCCUAAUCACUGAUUACCCGUGUGCACAAUGGCACCUGGCUGAAUCUAUCUAUUUAUCAUCUAUCUGUAGUCUUUGAGAUUGAUCCUAGGACUUUAAUGUUGGGCUGGUGCUGAGCCAUUGAGCUACACUCCAAGCCCAGCUGAGAAGAAUUGGUUGUAACUCCAACCACUACCUAGUACCACUCAAACCUUGGCAGAUAAUUCAACUUAAGAAAAAAGCUCCUAGGCGCUGAUCUGUCCCCAAGUGAGUGCCAUAGAGUAAUUUGAUACUCCAUUCCUGGAAGUCACACCCUCAGUUAGAGCAGAAAUGACAGAACUGUUGUGGAUACCUCAAAUAUGAAAGCCCUCCGCACUGGAUAGUCUUACACCCUAUCAGAUCCCAAGUCACUGAUGUCAUUGGAUGUGAUUGAUGCAGUGGGGGGCACUGACCAUGGCCUCACCUAUCCACGUGCAGCCCUGGAAGUGCACCAGUCCUGUCUACACAGAUGACAAAAGCUCCAGGCUCCACACCACAAUGGGAACAGCCAGUAGUGGGAUCAACUUCAAGUAACAGAGCCAAUGAGAGUAGAGCUCAAGGAACCCCACCUCCCAGAGGAGCUUCCACUCCCACUGUAGGAGAAACCACAGAGGGUGAGCUUCACAUACUCUGCUGUCAACACCAUGCCUGCCUCAGCCACCAGAGGGUCCCCACUUUGGGAGCCCUAUACAGAAAGUAGGGUUCCUGUGUGUGUGAAACUGUGCACUGCAUCCACAACACCUCAUCUCAGCCAAAAAAGCCACAGGAGGUUCACACUGUGAAGUCCGGUGGGAAUUAAACUCAACACUACACAACAAAUCUGAUAACCUAUGACACAACCGCAAAGAUGGCCGCUCAACGUGACGCGCCUCACAUUGAAUAGAAAAAUUCAUUGUAAGAGAUGCAUAAAUCUCAACAUAGCAGCAUAACAAUAUGGAAAAACAAGGCAAGGUGACACAUUCUAAAGUUCAAAAUUCUAUAGUAUCAGAUUUCAUAGGUAAUUAAAUGGGUAGAAUGCCAAAUAAUGAAUCCAAAACAAUGAUUUUUACAAAGUUUUAUGAAUUCCAAGAGAAUACAGAUAAACAAAUGAAUUAAGAAGACAAUUCAGAGGUAGAGAUUGUUUUUUUGGUACCGGGGAUCAAACUUGGGUCCUUGCGCUUGCGCAGCAGGCGGCAAAACCACUGAGCUAAAUCCCCAGCCCUAGAGGUAGAGAUUUUGAAAAAGAACAAAGUAGAAAUCUUAGAAAUGAAAAAUCUCAAUCAAUCAGAUAAAAACUCAGCUGAGAGUCUCAGCAACAAAGUAAACCAAGCAGAAGAAAGAAUAUCAGAGCCUGAAACCACUCUGAUGCAAUAUUAUAUUCAGACUGAAAUAAAGAUAAAACAGGAAAAAUGAACAGGACAUACCCAAUGCCUGGGGCAAUAUUAAAAGCAUAAAUAUAUGCACAAUCAGAAUGUAAAAAGGGAAAGAAAUGCAGGCCACAGACACAGAAAACCUGUUCAAUGAUAUAAGAGCAGAAAAUACCCCAAAUCUCAGAGAAGACAUCUGUAUCCAGGUACAGGAAAUCACUUAGAACCCCAAACAGACAAAAUCAGAAAAGAAUCUCUCCAUGAUAUAUUGUAGUUAAAUUGCCAAACUACAGGCCAAAGAUGAAAUAUUAAAAUUUGCAAGAGAGUAGGGCCAAGUGACAUUUAAUCUAAACUAGUUUACACUAAUGUUAGGUUUUUCAGGAAAAAAUUCUAAAAGGCAAGUGGGAAUGUAAUAAUGUAUUUCAAAUCCUGAGAGAAAAUAACUGUCAACCAAGUUUGCUAUCCCUAGAAUCAAAGGAGAAACAAAGACCUGCCAUGAUAAACAUAAAGGAACACAUGACCACAAGCCAGCAUUACAGAAGACACUUCAGUUAAUAAUAAAACAGAAGAGAAAGAAACUAAAUGCAAUCAUGAGAGAAUAUGGAAGAAUGUAUCUCAACAGAAGAGCAGAUAUAAAAAUGAGAAAUGGGGUGCUGGGGAUUUAGCGCAGUGGUUCCGCCACCUGCCUCGCAAGUGCAAGGUCCUGAGUUCAAUCCCUGGUACCAAAAAAAAAAAAGAGAGAGAAAUAGGAAGGGAUCAAACUUGUGAAUACAGUAAACAAUCAAACUUUUUUUUCUAGUCUCUUAAAAAUGUGUAGUACUGUAUUGUUUUUUUGUUGUUGUUCUUUUAUUGGUACAUUUUAGGUAUACAGUUCAUUUACAUUUAUCAUUGGGUGCUUGUGCCUGUAUAACCAUGAUAUAUCUUGGUUCUUAUUUUUUCCCCAUUACCUUCACGCCCUCCGCCCUUCCCUAUUUACAGAGAUUUAAUUUCCAUUUUCUUUUCUCUUCUCAUAGUUUUUCCUUUCCCUCUUUUCCUUUCCCCUUCCCCUCCCUUCACUCCUUUGUCUUUGGGCCUUUUUUCCUAUUUCAAAUUAUCAUUUAUUCAUUUUAAUCAUUUUAACCCUUGUUUACACUAUCAGUUUCUCACACUAGUGAAACUAUUCGGUAUUUGCACAUGUGCGUCCUAUUUAUUUCACUUAAG